rnacentral:lncRNA from 1 species
GGGAGGUUGAGUUCGAGGCCAGCCAGGUCUUAGAGAUAUCGUGAACAUCAGUGCAGCAGUUCUGGUCACCUGGAUUUAUAAACACCAAGAAGUAGCAACAGCCAGUGUGCAAGUCACUGACAACCCAAGUCACCAAAAAUCUUACUGAGAACCCAUUAGCUCCUUGAAUUAAAGAUUAUUUUGUGAAAAGAGGCUUGAUCGUCUUGUUCUGCACCUGAAAUAAAGCAUU